AUCAUAAUGUUUUCUUUUGAUUUUUAAUUUGUAUUUUUUUUGAAGGUGAGAUCAAAAGCUGGCAAAAAGAAUAGGAAAAAGCUUGAGUACAAUCAUUGUUCAGGAUCUCGGUCAUUUGUUGCAACAAUGACUAUACAGAAUUCUAUAAGAAAACUCAUACCAAGAAGAACAAAGAGUGGAUUGAUCCUAUUUGCGCCGUGAAACAUUCAAAGAUGUUGAGCUUGCGAGAAGAAUCUUCCCAAUCCGGUGUGCAAUUAACAUCAGAGGAGAUGUCUAGGCAGGCACUUGGAAAAAGGAAGAGAUACAUUCUUGGAUUUGGGGAUGGGCCGAAGCCCUCUUCAUCUUCUUCCACACCUAGUCGUGUGUCACAAGACCAUGUUGGGGAGUUACAGAAACUUAAAGCUGAGAUGGAGGAGAUGAAGAUGGAGCGUGAGAUGGAGCGUGAGGAGCUGCGGAGGCAAUUGGAACAGGAGAGGAGAGAGCGAGAGGAAGAACAGAAGCAAAUUGCACAUCUUACAAGUUUGGUGACAGAGUUCUUAAAGGAAAAGACUCAAACGCAUAAGUCGUCUAUCCAUCAUGAUGGGGCCAUGUAUUCAACUGGUGGCACAAAUACUCGUUGAUACAUGGUGGAGUUAUGAGCAUGUGAAUCUAGUUUUUGGUACAUGGAUAGCUUUUGUUCAGAUGAUCAUGGUGGAGUUGUCUACAAGCAGAAAUCAGUUUUUUGUUUAUUCAUAUUUUAUCUACAUGAUGGUUGUUUGGAUGAAUUGCAAGAUCAGAUAUUUUGGAAUUUUUAAUUUACAUUUUGAUGUGUUUGGUGAUGAUUAUCACCUUAACAUAUGGUAUGGAUGAAACAUUUUGAUGAAUGGUUAAUAGGUUUGCUUGACU